rnacentral:lncRNA from 1 species
CCACAGGCAGAGCAAACCUGGCCUUGGCCCUGAUGCAGCUGAGAUCACCAGUUAAUUGCCUCAUUUUCUGGGCUUUUCAGAAGCCCAUCCUUCAUCCUGCCUCCUCCAACAGUCUGCAACCUCUACAGCAAGGAGAGAAUUUCCACCUCCCAAAAGAUGGGAUGGAGCACCAAGGGGAUCCAGAUCAGUUCUACAACAGCCAGGACAGAUGCCCAUUCCAAAGCAAUUACUGCAUGGGAGAUGCAAAGUGGCUGGAAGAACCUGCUCAUUCUGGGUCUGUAAUGGAGCCUGUGAGGAGCUCAGCUUGCUGGGGUGCCAGCAGCACUGAGGAAGAACCUUCAAUCAGCAUUUUGCUGGAGAGGUGCCAGGAGGAAGGGACCCCGAUGUGCUUUGUCUGUAGCAGAGUGUGCUAAUAGGAGAAAAAACUCAUUUAUGUCCACGUGAGCCUUGGAUGGUGCUGCCCUUGCUGACACUGGGUACUUGCUGACUCCUUGAAUGGCUCCAUUCAAGUCUCUGACUGCUCUUGCACUGAGGUUCUGCUCAGUGUUAAUGGAGAUGUCAGAGUCUGGCCUGUGGGGAAUAAAUGCAUUGAGCAAGAAGGAGCUCUUUUACA